UCCCUGCUGGCUCAGAGGUUAAAGCGUCUGCCUGCAAUGCGGGAGACCUGGGUUCGAUCCCCGGGUCAGGAA
rnacentral:tRNA from 1 species